rnacentral:rRNA from 1 species
CCUACGGAGGCAGCAGUGGGGAAUAUUGGACAAUGGGCGAAAGCCUGAUCCAGCCAUGCCGCGUGUGUGAAGAAGGCCUUCGGGUUGUAAAGCACUUUCAGUGGGGAAGAAAGCCUUGGGGCUAAUACCCUCGAGGAAGGACAUCACCCACAGAAGAAGCACCGGCUAACUCCGUGCCAGCAGCCGCGGUAAUACGGAGGGUGCGAGCGUUAAUCGGAAUUACUGGGCGUAAAGCGCGCGUAAGCGGUCUGAUAAGCCGGUUGUGAAAGCCCCGGGCUCAACCUGGGAACGGCAUCCGGAACUGUCAGGCUAGAGUGCAGGAGAGGAAGGUAGAAUUCCCGGUGUAGCGGUGAAAUGCGUAGAGAUCGGGAGGAAUACCAGUGGCGAAGGCGGCCUUCUGGACUGACACUGACGCUGAGGUGCGAAAGCGUGGGUAGCAAACAGGAUUAGAUACCCCUGUAGUC